rnacentral:rRNA from 1 species
UACGUAGGGUGCGAGCGUUGUCCGGAUUUACUGGGCGUAAAGCGCGUGUAGGCGGCCACGCAGGUCCGUUGUGAAAACUAGAGGCUCAACCUCUAGACGUCGACGGAAACCGUGUGGCUAGAGUCCGGAAGAGGAGAGUGGAAUUCCUGGUGUAGCGGUGAAAUGCGCAGAUAUCAGGAAGAACACCAAUGGCGAAGGCAGCUCUCUGGGACGGUACUGACGCUGAGACGCGAAAGCGUGGGGAGCGAACAGG